UAAGACAGAGGGUGCAAACGUUGUUCGGAAUUACUGGGCGUAAAGCGUGUGUAGGCGGCUACGCAAGUCGGAUGUGAAAGCCCUGGGCUCAACUCAGGAAGUGCACCCGAUACUGCGCAGCUAGAGUACCGGAGAGGUUGGUAGAAUUCUCGGUGUAGAGGUGAAAUUCGUAGAUAUCGAGAGGAAUACCUGUGGCGAAGGCGGCCAACUGGACGAGUACUGACGCUGAGACACGAAAGCGUGGGGAGCAAACAGG
rnacentral:rRNA from 1 species